ensembl:lncRNA
ACAUCAAAGGCGACAUUAUUUCGUGAGCUCAUGAAGGUGCCUCAGUGCAGCAGCAAUUAAAAAAACAAACACAAAAUUUCAGUUUGAGAUCUCACUCAGUGGAGGAAUCGUCUUCCAUCUUCAUCUGUUUUGUGAUGGAAAAUUUAGCAGAUCUUCUCACAGAUGCAUUUUCAGAGACUUCUGUCCCAUCGUUCCACGAUGAAGAUCUGGACUUUGAGAGUCUUGGUUUUAACGAUCAGAGAUGGAGAGAAAAUGCAGAAGACACGACGACAGAUGAAGCUUUGCUCCAGGAAGCAGCUGCUGAGAGCGGAGCUUUGUUAAACGAAGACGUUUUGUUUGUGGCGGAGAGAGCUGACGAAGAGAGGGACAGCGAUGAAUCUCCUGAGGUAAACUUUGAAGAUGAAACACCAGAAAAAGAUUACGAAAGCUCCGAUGAAGAUUCGGAUCAGGAAGGUUCAGCCUCUGGAGAAGAUGAAGAGGUCGGAUCAAGUACAGCAGAGGAACCAGGGGAAUUGUUGAUGGAAGCUCCCUACCUCGGUGGUGAUAAAGAGGACAAGAUCUUCACUGAGGGACGACCUUUAGACCCAGAGGGUGGUGAUAACCCUCAAGUUAGAAACAAAACACACAGUGAGGUUGAAGGUGAGGUGGAUGUGGGCUAUUUUGGUGGCGUCCCCGAACGAAGCAGUGAGAUGAUGAUGAUGAUAGCGAUGAAGGAGGAUGAGCAAGAAAGAGAGUCUGAGGGCAUGAAAGAAAAACAUGCGGAAAGCGCUCCGUCGGAUGGCAGGGAGGAUCCGUGCUCGGAUGGGAAAACCAGCGAGACGUUUCCAGACAUAUCGCUGGAAUGUCUGCAGGAUCUGAUUGAUGAAGUUGAUGGUGAGGAAGAAUGUGUGGAGAAAAUAGCCGAAUUUUCUGGGGAGGAGCACCAGGAGGCAGGUGAGAGCUUUGCAGAUUAUCCCUCGGACUUUUCUUCCUGUGAAUACACAGAAGGAGGGGGAAAUGAUCCUGAGCAGAAGAUGAACGCUGAACCCUCUGCAAGGCAGGAUAUGAAUGUGGAGGAAUCUGCAGCAGGAUCAAAGACUACAGCUGAGGUCUUUGAUGAUGAGAAGGAAGAUGAAGUCCUGUACAGCAUAGAUCUGGAGAUGAAUACGAUGUUGAUCCAGGAUGAGGGACAACAUCAGCUUCUUUUGGCUGCAAGUGGAGGGGAUGAUGGAGACGAGACUGGGGAAAGUGGCUCCUCCAGUUCCAGCGAUGAUGAUGAGAAACUGACUCCAGAGGAAUCCGAAGAGAACAUGAGUUUACACGACGCUAUCAGCGCUGAGCUGACAGGGAACAUUCAGCUUUACGGUGACGGCAUUGCCAUGCUGUCCAGGUGGGGAGCCUCAGAUGACCAUCACUUCACAGAUAACUCAGAUGAAUUCACAAGUUUUGACCUUCUGAAAACUGACAACGUACCUUUUGAAACACCGUUGGGCACACCACCUUCAGAUGUGAACUGCAGUCCAGAUGAAGAUCUGAGCACAACGUCACAAAAUGAGGAGAGAAAAAAGGCAACUCUUUCCAAUCAGGGAUCGAUCGAUGAUGACUUUUUGUUCGAAAAUGAACAAAGUAGCACCUGGAACGAUGAGCAGGGGGAACUAGGAGACGAUGAGGAUGAAAAAGACAGAUGGGAACAAGAACAUGAGAGAAUUGAGGCUUUCUACAAGUUUUACAAUGACAGUGAUGAGGACAAUGCAGGAGGAGAGAGGCAAACAAAAGUUCAGUUUUGUUCAAACCCCUUAUCCCAAGUCAUCCACUAUGACAAUGAAAGUAGUGACAGAGAUUCAGACACCAGCUCUUCAAACAGAGAGGAGGAUCUUAACUCUGCAGAAAGAUCAGAGGAGCUACUGGAAACAGAAGACAGAUCGCUAAUCACACCUACAUCUGAUCCCCCAACCGAUCAGCAGCCAGAAAGACCAGCAGAUGUCAGCGACGCACCCGCCUGCACAGAACAGCAUGAGAGUCCCCGGCUGCUGAAGCUGGUUCUGAAGAUGGGUGUGAUGAUGGUGAUGGGCCUGCUGAUGUUCUGUCUGACCACAGACCAGGCGGACUGGUUCAGUCAGUUUUUCUUCUUCUAGGACAUCAGCUAAUUUUGUUAUUGAAACUUUUAAAGUGGAAAAUAAAAAUACAUGUUGACAUUGAUGACAUGAGUGGAAGAAAUAAACUUCUUUAAGCUAUUUUGACAUGAGUGAAGAUUAGAUCACUCUGAUUUAAAUAACACUGACUGAUUGAUGUAUAUACAUGACUAAAUUCGUGAGCUUUUUCCUUAAUUUUUUGGUAAGUUUUACUGAUUCUUUUUGUUGUUACAAAAACUGAAUGUUUAUAAAUCUCAAAAUAAAAUACUCUCCUC